GACAACCUCUCCGGUAGCCUGGUGGUUAGAGCGUCCGCCUCGGAUGCGGGAGGUCGUGGGUUAUAUUCCCGGUCGAGUCA